CAGGGAAUAGUUUAAUCAGAAUGUCAGCUUUGGGUGCUGGUGGUGGGGU
rnacentral:tRNA from 1 species